rnacentral:tRNA from 1 species
AAAACGGAAGAGAGGAGUUGAUCAAUUCAUCGGAUCGGGACUGACGGG